CUUACAGAGUUCUUUGGCAUUCUGUCCACCUCCCCGAUCUCCUUUUAGGAAGAAAAAAAAGAAAGAUUAAUUAUAGGAAAAAAUAUAUUUUCUUCGUUUUAAUUUAUGUGACGUAGUUUGAAACGACAAGAGUUAAGUGUAGAAUUAUGGAGGUGGGCAUACUGCCAACAGAUUUCUGUUGG
rnacentral:pre_miRNA from 1 species